UACGAAGGGGGCUAGCGUUGCUCGGAAUCACUGGGCGUAAAGGGUGCGUAGGCGGGUCUUUAAGUCAGGGGUGAAAUCCUGGAGCUCAACUCCAGAACUGCCUUUGAUACUGAAGAUCUUGAGUCCGGGAGAGGUGAGUGGAACUGCGAGUGUAGAGGUGAAAUUCGUAGAUAUUCGCAAGAACACCAGUGGCGAAGGCGGCUCACUGGCCCGGUACUGACGCUGAGGUGCGAAAGCGUGGGGAGCGAACAGG
rnacentral:rRNA from 1 species